rnacentral:lncRNA from 1 species
AGUACUUCUUCUUUAUUACCAUGAAUGCUUGGUCCGAGUCAUGACCUGGUGGUAUUGGCAGUAUCCUUUUGGGUGCCCCUAAACCAAAUUAUUGUAAAGCAAAUCCCAGAGUCCGGGCCGGGGUCAAGGCUGAAAAUUCACAGCUCCUGCAACGGGCAACGGUGCAGACCAACUUCGGUUCUUCCCCUAUCACACGAAAAUCAAGGCAAAGGUAUGCAAAGUACACAGAUUAAUUUGUGAUAGUGAUCUAUUGAUUUUUAUUGCACCAAUGAUCAUCACAAUUGUAAGGAGUGGCAAAAUGAUCGUCAAAAUCAGGAGGAGCAAGAUGCAAUGCUUGCAAUAUGAGACAACAUUUCAUAUUCGAUCUUGAUGGCUUGCAUAUGCAUAUCAUUUUUCUCCUGUUCUAAUUUUGCAUGUAUUGUUGUUUAGCCUCAAUUUGGGAUAUGUCUUAUCUACAUUGUUAUUUUUUUACCAAAUUGCGCAAGUUAUAUCUCUCUGGAAGACAUGACAUAAACAUUAUAGUGGAGAAGUUCAACUUGACAGUUUGAAUAUUAAAGAUUGAAUCUUAUAGAAUUCAAAAUCUGGAUAAUCAAAUUUAUUAAAGUUGAAACGUCAGAAACGCCAAUGUAUAGAACAUGUCAAACAAAACAUCAACCUGUAACUUCCCUAGGUAAAUCUAGACCUCGGUGUUCUGCAGUGAUUGAAAACUAAUUUGAGCUCGUAGAUAUCAAUAUAGUAACUGGAAAAAAUGUAGCUUCGAAGUAGCUAGAAGUAAACGACAGCAUAUGAAACAUAAAGAACUCCAUUAGUUCUCAAUGUUCUGAUGCUUCUUGGCCGUGUAGCCAUCCAUCCAUGCCCUCCAUCUCCAUCUCCAUCUCCCUCUAUCCUAAGCUGGGUAGGGAUUGUUGGGGAGUAAGGAGGCAGUGGUUGGAGUAAUUUAUUUACUAAUAAUAUGGUGUCAAUUGGGCUUCGCCACCGAGAAACGGACCAGUUCAGCCCAAGUUAACCUUUACAUCUUUGCACCUAAGAUCAGCCCACCAAAUUUAGUGUAUCGAUUCACUAGGUAGUACUCUUUUUUUUUCUUCUUUAAUAAAAGCAAAUUUCAUUAACAGAUCCCUGAAAUUCAUCCAGUUUGAUUUGAUUUACAUUACUAUUCUGAUGAUAGGUUAAACAUGCAUUAGACAUUACAGAUUUGUAAUUUAACAGAUGGAUCUGACAUAAUACAAUAGUUCCUUAAUCCUUACUUUGUCAAACUAGUAGGAACAGAAUCCUCCUCCAGGCUCCAUCUUUCUUGGCUCUGUACUUAAUUCCCAGCUUGUACCAAUAAACAUUAAGCAUGUUCUUGGCUAAAAAAUACACCGCGUUUUAGGUUGAAUUCAAGCUUGCACAAGCUCAUAUAAGGAGCUCGAACUUCUUCUCUCCUAAAACCACUAAAUCACCAAGGAAGCUCUCACAAAGCAACAAGCUAGGUAAAGGUGUGUUGGUUAAAUAAACGUUCCUUUGAUCUUUUGAAUCAUUUGAAGCUGAAAUUAUGUGCUAAAGAAAGCUGAAAAUUGAUUAUGGGAGGAAACUAUCAAAAUAAUUUUUAAAACAACAGCUGGUUCUUUGGAACUUUUAAACGAAUUUAUGCUUUAAAGAAAUGUUUACAAACGUAGCUUCUUAGGAUUGCGUAGAAAGCCACAAAGCCCUUGUAGUCUGCGGUAUAAAUUUUAGUUUGAGACAAAGUUGGCAUUGCAAAAUAGAAGACUCUCAAGAGGUGUCAUUUUCAAUCUAAAACAAGUACACAACAUUAAUUCACUGGAUGCCCCCAAUUGACAGAACACAUACCACCACUUUUGCUUCUUGUCUUCUCUGCCCAAAAUUCCUCAGACUAUUACUUUCAAAAGUUAACAGGUGCAAAUGUCAAUGGUGAUGAAUUAUUGAACCAACAUAGAUAGAGAGAUUAAAUUCAUUCUUACAUGGAUGAUGAGCGAGAGAUGUUAAAUAUUUUAUCGCAAAACUAAUUAAUUGUGAGUGGAGCGCUUCAUGAUUUUUAUUAAUUGAUUCAGUUAGUCUUGACUAACAGAUAUGGUAUUAGUUCUUUUUUUAAAAAAAAAAAAUUUAUUUUGACACUGCGAAUUAAUGUAAGAGAAGAAAAGAAAGUAAUUUAUCAAGAGCAGUAGGAUGGAAUUACAUUUUAUAGCAACAACUAUACGCAAACGCGGGAUUUGUGGACAUAAUCACAUACAAUUAGGCAAACCAAAAUAAGCAAACUCCCUAAGUUGUUGUUGUACUUUCAGAUGAUGAACUUAAUAGCUCCUCCAGCAGAUCAGCUCCUAAGUCUUCAAGCUCCAGAACAAUUUUUUUUGGGUUUAUGUCUUUAUUUUGAUUUCUUCUGCGUUUUGACAGACUUCUAAUCUUGUGUGUUUCCUUGAGAACAGCAGCUGGUGAGCAACCAUUCUCCCAAUUGUGCUUAAUCCCUUCAAGUGAUUCUUGGACUCGAUCAGCUGGAAAGUUGAGGGACGCCAUGGGACCCCGCAGUGAAAAUGCUGCUUGGUCAU